AUCCAGUCGACGUGUCCAAAACAGGACGAAACGCGCGUCCUGGAU
rnacentral:hammerhead_ribozyme from 1 species